CUCUGCCAGCAACCCGCAUUAAAGGGUCCGACUCCCUUCUUCAUCUGAACACAACACAGAACACAUCAAGGGACUGAGGCUCCUCUGGUGGCGGUGUCUUGUUUUGUGUGUUUAUUUUAUUGGAGCACCUUUUUCUUUGUUUGCUACGGAGCCCCGUAAUUGUCUGUGUUUUGUAGUGUCUUGGGGGAUCCCUCUUUCUUCACUGGAUGUUGCUUCCUUCCCUCACGACUUUCCCCACUGGUAAGUCUCAGUUUCCGUUAAGAUUUAAA